UCCCUACUAGUUGGUAAUUAUCGUGUUUCAAACGUAACCAUUAACCGUGCUCAUGAGUAAGGACAUUUCUCGAGUUCGAAACUAUCGGCAUCCCCAUAUUUAAAACAUAUAAGCUCGUUGCUGAAGGUCAAGCCUGGCAUGAGACCUCUUUUCUUCAGCCAGAAGAUGGAUGCAAAACUACCAGAGAAGAAAAUGCCUUCAACUGCAGCAAAGGCAACAAUACGCUCGCCAAACGUAGCGGAUUUGCUUGCGAUCCACUGCAGUGCCCAGUCAGCCUUCUUCUUCACGCAUGGCAGAGUCUCAAUAGCGUUGAACAGGAAAUCCCUAAAUUUAAAUUAGUCAUACAUUUUUUGCCUUUAAAGAUUCUAUUAUACAUAGUAAUAAUCAAAUACUAUAAUAAUAUUUAAUAUUUAUCAAAAACAAGGCAUGCUGUGGUUGCCUAUAAAUGUAAGAACAGUAAGAUCUAAUCUACCAGUGUACUGUAUUGAAAUGUUUAGCUGUAUCUUAUAUCGGUAAUCCUAUAAAUAAAUAAAUACAGCAAUGAUUUAUUUA
rnacentral:lncRNA from 1 species